GGGAUGGUCUAAAAGCUGACGAGGACAAUAUGCAAAUAUUUCAUAAAGUUUCUGAAUACAUAAAUAAAACAAAACGUUUUGAAAGUUAAUCUAGUAUAUGUAUAUAUAUUAUAUAUUUAUACAUUUUUUUUUAAAUAUGAUGUAAAAUCGAGUGGAUUGUCCGUUGUAAUUGAUUGUGGUCGAACGUGUGUGUUGGUUCCAGUGACUGUCUAGAAAAGUAAAUAAGAGUUGACUGUUUUUGUCGGUUUUUUUUUUCGUUUUUUUUGUUUUUUUUUCCUCACUUUUUAUUGUUUUCCUUUAUUUUAUUUGUUUUGUAUUUUUUUUUUUUUUUUUUUAUUAUUAUUAUUAUUUUUUAUUUUUUUUGCGUGUGUGUGUGUGUUUAUUUAUUCAAUGUAUCAUAUGCUACCAUAAAAUGAAUAUACUGUUGGCACGUAAUAUUGUAUGUUAAAUAGAUUUAUUUUUUUUUGGCUUUUUUUUUAGGGAGACGGAUUUAUAAAAGUUUUUCCAAACUUGUUUCCGAAUCCCAUAUUUGAACUUUAUGUAACAUUGUAAUAUUUGUCUUGACAUUUUU
rnacentral:lncRNA from 1 species